UACGAAGGGUGCAAACGUUGCUCGGAAUUAUUGGGCGUAAAGCGCACGUAGGCGGCAUUGCAAGUCGGAUGUGAAAUCCCUCGGCUUAACCAAGGAAGUGCAUCCGAAACUGCAGUGCUUGAGUACUUAAGAGGAUCGCGGAAUUCCCGGUGUAGAGGUGAAAUUCGUAGAUAUUCGCAAGAACACCAGUGGCGAAGGCGGCUCACUGGCCCGAUACUGACGCUGAGGUGCGAAAGCGUGGGGAGCAAACAGG
rnacentral:rRNA from 1 species